rnacentral:lncRNA from 1 species
UUUUUUUUUUUUUUUUUGUUUUUUUAGAGCCACACCCACAGCAUAUGGAGGUUCCCAGGCUAGGGGUCAAAUUGGAACUGUAGUCCCUGAGCUAUGCCACAGAACAGCCAUGCCAGAACUGAGCCAUGUCUGCGAGCUGCACCACAACUCACAUCAAUGCCGGAUCCUUAACCCACUGAGCAAGGCCAGGGAUUGAACCCGCAUCCUCAUGGAUACUACUCAGGUUCUUAUCCUGCUGAGCCACAAUGGGAACUCCUCCACUUGAUUUUUUUACCUUUGUUCAGUUUUCAAGCGAGAAGGUUGAUAGCUUUCAUCAGCUGUUCAAAGAUGUCAAUAACCCCUAAGUUUUAAGAAUAAUCGAGAUAACCAAAUAAUUAAAAAUUACAUAAUAUUUGGUAUUUUAAAUUACCAGUGUAAACAGAAGACUAGAAUGACAACUACCUCUACACAGAAGAAUCAAGAAAGAUUCUUGGCGGAUAGCACAUAUGCUCUGAAAUAUGAAGCUCAAGGAGAAGUUUGUUAGGAAGAGAAGAAAGAACUUCAGAACUCCCUAGAAUAUACAUAAAAGCAGUGGUGACUGCCAAAGCCUUGGUAUAGUUAUUGGAGAGAGUUCUUUGGUGGGACAGAAAUAAUGGAUGCAAAUGCAGACAUGUCUAUAGCAUUCAUCGCUGUAUUCUUUACAUUUAGAAAAGUACUUGGUACAUGAUACACAGAUCUAUAGAUGUUUAUUAACUUAAAAAUGACAAUAGGUUUAAAUAAUAGAAUAGGCAUAGAUAAUGAAAUAUACUGAGGGACCCACUAAGAAUUUUGCCCUCUAUCCUUUUUGAUUAUAAUUAUUUGAGGACCAUUUAAAUUUAGUUGGUGUUUUGUUUCAUUUUGUUUGCUUAUUAUUGUAUUUUUAGUGAAAAAAAUCAUCAGCUUUGAGUACAAUGUCAAUUGUGUGCAAAAUGAAAGGUUUUGGAUCCUAGGGAAAUGAUGAUAGGACAUCAAAUCAAACAUCUGCAAUGUUAAAAGGAAAUUAGCCGAUGCAAACUGUUAUAUAUAGCAUGUAUAUAGCACAGGGAACUGUAGUCAAUAUCUUUGAUAAACCACAAUAGAAAAAAUAUGAAAAAAUAUAUAUAAAUAUUCUUUGCUGUAUGGGAGAGAUUAACACAAUAUUGUAAAUCAAAGAUACUUCAAUAUUUUAAAAAAUUAGUAUUUUUUUUUCAAAAUGAAAGGAAAUUAAUUUUUCAGGUAUCAGGCAAAAGAAUUAGCUAUUUAAACAAUUAAAAUGAAGGAAUAAAAAAAGGAGUGAUUAAAAAAAACCAGUUUUUUUUAGCUUAGAUUUGCUCAAGAUUUUUUUUUUAAUGAAAACAAACUAGAAAACGAAAGUGUGUUUGGGGUAGUGACAAAACAAAUAUGAUCAGUUGUGGUGGCAUGGUCAUGUAAGGGAGUGAAAGACAAUUCUAAACUUUGCACAAUUACAAAAAAAAUCUUAGUAAAUAGUUCAAGUUUGGAGAAUACAUACGCUACAUUACAAUCCUGAAGGCCAGAAUAUUAACACGGCACAGAAAUGACAUUGAAUGUUGGUUGGUUAAUAUCACCAAGAUUUUUCCAGCAUCAGAUGUUAUUAGAGGAGUCAGAGUUUUAACCUCAUAUUAUGUACGUGAUAAAGAUGACAGGAGAGAUCUCCUAGAAUUCACUCUAUUUUAUUUUCUGACUUUUUGGGAAGAUUUCAUUUCUUAGAGUAUUUCCAGCCAGUUAGGAGAUGUCAGAAAUGUCAACAUUUAAAAAAAAAAAACUACUACUUUUUUCAAAACCUUUGUAAAAAUAAAAUCAUAUUGGGUCACUUCCAAGAGGAAAGCAUGACAUCAUUUUUACACAUUUUUUCCUCUUGGAAAAAAUGCAUCACUCUGGUCAUUUUAAGUCACAGAUUCCUCAUCUAAACUUUUGCUUCCUAAUAGAGUUAAUGAAAACAUUUAAGGAGAUUGUUAGUUUUGCCAAAGAAGAAACAUACAAAGCCAAUUUGGUAUGGCAAGAAAUUUACUGAGGCAUCUGUGAGAAGUUAGUCUUAUAAAUGGUCAUGGUGGGAAUCUGUGGCAAGGGCAUAUGGUGGGAACGUGUGACAAGGUCAAAGAAAGGAAGAUUACACAAUUUGGGGAAGGGGUGAGGGGUCGAGUCCUGUGACUGAGUGAUUGUAGCCAAUGAUAAUUAUAGGGGAAGGGAAAAAUUACACAAUGUGAGAAGGCAGUUGGGGUCAGAGUCUCAGGACCAGACCAUGUAAGUUCAGCAGCAGGAAUUGAUUUACAGGUGGCAGUUAAUCUUUCUAUGUGGUUAAUUUUUUCAGGCCGUUGUUUCUGGUAGAUCAUUGUUUCUUGCUGUCUACCUUGAAAGGCUUCAUUCCAAAGCUUGAUUCCUUCGUCCAUUCUCCUAGGAACCUAUCAGAGAUAAAACAGAGUACACCUUACCUCUGACAUCUAAAUUUAAGGUAUCAUCUAGACAACUCCCCAUACCUUUAAUUACAUAUUGACAUACAUAUUUCAAUUUUGUACAUGCAGGCAUAUUUAUUUAAUGAGUCAUAAAAAAACUUCCUCUCUCUAAAAAAAAAAAAAAAAAAAGCAACUGCAAAUGCUUAUUUUUCCCUGUGAAUCAUUUGAAUUAUUACUUUACUGAAAAUAAUUUUAGAACUUAUGUUACAUUGACCUCAGCUGAAAAAUAGCAUAAAUAGUAUAGAAUAAUUGAGCCUAUUUUUUCAUUAUAAAUACAAUGUUAAAAUGUUCAUUUAGCUUUCCAUAUAGAAACUAAUAUUUAUAUGUCAUGCUGACAAAGCCACAUCAGCAAUAACUUGAUUAGGAUUUCAGAGACACAUUAACAAUUUAUUUUUUGGCAAUUGAUCAUAUUAUCUACACUACAUUUCAAAGAGCCAAAAUAACCAAAAUUUAGUUCUUUUGAAUAUGUAGCUUCCACACAAAAUUGAUCAUUCUGUUGAAGCAGCUGGACAUGGGAAGGAUGACUGAUCAGAAGAGAACUGCAUUAAUCCCAAUAAUAACUAUUUAGAAUUCUGAGCAAUGAUUAAUUUGGGGAAAAGACAAGGAAAUAAUGUUUCUGAGAGAUACAGAAUUUCAAUCUAGUCCAAAAAGCAGAACAUGACAUACUAAAACAUGCUGAAGUGCUAGUAUUUGGUGAUUCACUAAACUAGUUGGUCCUGGACAUCAAGUUCAGCUCAUUUCUCCAGCUCAUUUUCCAAGUGUAAGAAUCUUAUCCACCUUGCCACCUUUCCUGAAUGCAUAUCUCUCCCUAUUCCAUAGCACACAAAACCAAAAUUUUUCAAAACUACCUCCCUCAUUGGCAUUGCCAAGACCAGCUCAGCAGGAUGGGGCUGAAGAACAGGUACUGUGAAACUUAAGGAAAAAAGCUAACAUAAAACAAGACACAGGCAUUUAUCUUAAGUAAAGGUGGGAACUGGGGGACUCAAGGUCUCAGGGACCAAGAGCACCACCUCAAGAAACCACACUGCUUUUAUUGUGCUCUUUAGGAUUGCAUCAAGUGAGGAGGGGGUUGUAGGCACAGGAUAUAGGUUUUUUUAAGUUAUUUUAAAAGUGCCUGGGUUAUCAUCAUUAUACAACUACAGAUGCGAUAAAUUCAUUUGAGUAAUAAAAAAAAAAAUGGGAAAAAAAAAAGUCCCAUAGCCAGUUGCUGAUUAAGCUUUUAUUCUGACAUUUAGGCAUUCAACAAUCAUUAGCAUUUGAGGAAACUUGGCAUCAGCCAUCUAUGCAUAGCAUCUAGAGAAUCACCAUUGUGCUUCUUUAGACAGCAUGCCUAUCUGCAGCAACCUGGGGUGCCAAGGUUUGCACCUCAGUUCUCCUUGUUAAUACAGAUCCUGCUUACGACCCCUCAUAAACCCCUUGGGGCCAUGAGGCUCCUCUUUCUUUUAUUAAGAGGAUGUAUCAUGCUGUGCAAACAGCUCGUCCAUCUGCACAGGUCCAGAGUGCCUAGACCAAUGCAUUAAGUCCUCAUUCAGCUAACCCUAUGAAUAACUUAUGCCUUUAGGUCUUUGUUCUUAAGCUUAAGUCAUUUACCAGCACUGCAUCUGUUUUCCAAGCAGAAAGUUGGGGUAAAGUAAAGCAGGACAAGAUGGAGUUUUCAGCAAAGAGGCUAAGAAAAUAUUGUAGAAACAUGUCUCAUAACAUGGCAUAGCAAUAGAAGUUUUAUGCACUCAUUUUGGCCCCUCCAUUGCAUUCAUUCAUCCACUAUGAUCACUGUUUGCACUUCACCCAAUAUCUCCAUUUACAACUUCACAAUAGCAACUACAUUUGACUAUAAUCUAACCUUAAGGCAGUGAAAGGAUUCAGAUAAUCCUACUCCAAAAAUGCAUUAUCAGUAUUGAAGCAAUCCUUGCCUAUUGUUAAAUAAAAGAGAGCAGGCCCAAAAUGGAGUCACUUAUGCUAACCCCCAGAUCAUCAAACUGAGACUUAUUUUAAUUACAGCAUCAGCUCUACCAGAAAAGGAAUCCUAAGCUAGUCAACCAGUAAUCACCUAGUCAGUACUAGCUAGAAAAUCUGCCUGAUAGACUUUUGCCAUUCUCUAAAGGAAAGUAAUCUUGCAACAACCAACCUGCUAUUUGCCUAGUAUAACAUUUUUUAUCCCACUCCCUUCUACCUAUAAAAGUCUCCCAUUUUGUACAGCUCCUCAGAGCUCCUUUUUAAUCUGUUAUAUUGGAUGCUGCCUAAUUAAUGAAUCAUUGAAAGCCAAUAAGAUCUGUAUAAUUUACUCAGUUGAAUUUUGUUUUUUUAACACUAUCGAUUUUGCAUUAGGUAGUAAAACUUGCAACCAAAGAUCUUCCAAAAACCUGUGCUUGCACAACAAUAAAAAUGUUUAAUUUUCAACAUUAGGCUGCUGAAAAGGAACUACUCUUAAGGGUCUAAAACACAUUUUCUUCAUAUGACCACUUUAGUAUAAUAUGU